rnacentral:rRNA from 1 species
GAGUAACACGUGGGCAACCUGCCCAAAAGAGGGGGAUAACACUUGGAAACAGGUGCUAAUACCGCAUAACCAUAGUUGCCGCAUGGUAACUAUGUAAAAGGUGGCUAUGCUACCGCUUUUGGAUGGGCCCGCGGCGCAUUAGCUAGUUGGUGGGGUAAAGGCUUACCAAGGCAAUGAUGCGUAGCCGAACUGAGAGGUUGAUCGGCCACAUUGGGACUGAGACACGGCCCAAACUCCUACGGGAGGCAGCAGUAGGGAAUCUUCCACAAUGGGCGAAAGCCUGAUGGAGCAACGCCGCGUGGGUGAAGAAGGUCUUCGGAUCGUAAAACCCUGUUGUUAGAGAAGAAAGUGCGUGAGAGUAACUGUUCACGUUUCGACGGUAUCUAACCAGAAAGCCACGGCUAACUACGUGCCAGCAGCCGCGGUAAUACGUANGUGGCAAGCGUUAUCCGGAUUUAUUGGGCGUAAAGGGAACGCAGGCGGUCUUUUAAGUCUGAUGUGAAAGCCUUCGGCUUAACCGGAGUAGUGCAUUGGAAACUGGGAGACUUGAGUGCAGAAGAGGAGAGUGGAACUCCAUGUGUAGCGGUGAAAUGCGUAGAUAUAUGGAAGAACACCAGUGGCGAAAGCGGCUCUCUGGUCUGUAACUGACGCUGAGGUUCGAAAAGCGUGGGUAGCAAACAGGAUUAGAUC